GCACAUGGUGAAGGGGUAUGAUUGGCCCAGGGAGCACAGGCACAUUGUUUGCACCUGUGCUCCGCACCUGACGAGAAGGGGAGGACCCAUGGUGGAGCCACCCUGGGCUCAUAUAAUAGCCAGCCACUGAAAAGAAAUCUUCUCUUAGAUCUACACCAGCUGGAAUUUACAAAACCCAGUUCCACUCAACAGCAAGAGGAACACACAGACCACAAGCUUUCGCCAAAGUCUCCCACCAAGAAAUUCAAUUUAAAAAAGUCAUGAUCAGAAUCCUAAGGAUGAAUUUGAAAACAACAAAAGAUGUUCUGGGGCAAAACUCUGGGACAGGAAAUAGCUGAGCCUGUUUGACACCACUGCAGCGUUAGACUCGCUGGAACAGCUGGGGCUCAUUACUUCAUUGGGUAUUCCUUGGCUCAGGCCAAACUCUCUUGGCUCUUUUUCACCUCUUUGGAUGCAUAGCUCCUAGAAAAAUGAGUCAAGAGCCUGUGUGUAUGAAUGCUCUUAAUAGCGCUGAUAAGCAUCACCUGGUGCCCCCCCCCCCAUUCUCUCCUCUCAAGGACUGCAUUACAUCUCAGACCCUGCCCAAGUUAUGCUAUAAAUGUGCCUGCUUAUAGCUCCAGCUGUGUUGCAGUAAUGCCUGGCAAUGGGCCCCUUUCAUCUUUUUUCAUUUGGCUGGAUCGUAAUUUAUGGACCGAGUUCCUAGGUGUUAGACCUGCCUUGAUGCUAUGAACUUGCCUGGUGAUUGUGUCUGACUCUGUCAGGGCUGACUCUCCCUUACUUGCUUGUGUUUCUGGCUUCAUAUGGGACCAAUCCUGUUACCAAACACUUGACUUGCAUCUGUCCCCCACCACUCCCUUGCAAAUUGGAAGUUACAUUGUAAGAGUGAAAACCAGGGACAGUUUGGGACUCCAGGAGAUGAAAGGCUGCAGUUUGUCUUAAAAGGGUAGAGGUGCUUCCAUUUCCUGACCUUCCCUCUGUUGCUCUUGUGAGGAAUUAAAUUAACCCAGACAGAACCAAGCAUGAUGAUUUUGGCUGUCACAUGUACAUGAAAUGAAAUUUGCCCUUUUCCUUAUUUUUGCAGAUGCAAGAAGUCCUGGCUAAAAUCAGGUGCUCAAAUGCAUAUUAGUGUUUACAUGUAUGGUAUGGGCAAGGAGUGCUACUGUGGCAUGGCUUGCCCUAACUAACCCCUGCCCGGAGAAAUGUAAAUAGCCUUCUGGCAGGAGAUACUGGGAUGCAGAUUCUGUGACUUUCUAUUAUAGGUGGAGGAAUGGAGAGAAGGAGGAAGAGCUGGAUAUUUUUCUGUUCGCUUUCCUGUGCAUAGCACACGUUUCUGCAUGGAUAUUCAGCAACAGUCAUUGAUGAUCGCAUUAGCAGUAAUGUCUCUUGAUGUUUGCAGUCCCUCUUAAGGAAGACAGGAAGUGAAAUACCGUGUGCAUACUCUCACCGUGAAGGUGAGAGGUGGGAGGCUGGUGGCAAGUGAGUAGGUAAUUAAGAGAUGCCUUCUGUGUGGAAAAGUUCCAGCCAUUCUGGCAUUUUCUGUCUGAGAGGAGCCAAUAAGCAGGUGCCCGUGGAGGAACAGGAGAGCAGACCAUUUCUGGAAUAACUCUUCUCUUGCUACAUUCUUCCUCCACAGUUCUGCUGACCUCCAAGUUAGAGACUUCCUGGUCAGGAAAAAGUUCUGUCUGAAGACUCCCAGCGUAUAUUUGCUGUCUUUCUGAGAAGCAUGUUAAGUACAUUGGGCCUACCAAGCACUGGGUGAUGUGACAUACAUAUUCUGAAUGUGUAUUGUGCAGGUGUGCCCUCUCUAUUUUUUCCUGUUGUUCAAGGGCUUUCCUUCUAGAGAUCUACCUAGGCCUGCAAGGGCUUGUUCAGAAAAAUAUGAUUAUGGUUAUGGUCCAAUACAACACCUCUCCCCAUCUGUAGCUCCUUCAUUUCCAUGAGGUUUGAAUUGUCUGUUUUCCUGUGCUUUGUGCUCUUCAAUGCGAAGGUACUGCAGAACUUUUCCAGCUGAUAUAUGUUUUCAUUUUCAGUUGAGCAUGAUUUCUUUUUACUGGGUAGAAUUGAAACAAUACAUUAUCUUGUACCCUAAUUUAUAUGUUCCUAGAAAAAUUGGUCUUCCAUGAGUGAUGGAAAAGUAACUCCAUUGCUUUUCCAAAUUGUCAGCUACAUCUUGCACAUCCCUACACAAUAACUAAAAGUCCAGCUUCCUUUCUGAUACUUCACUAAACUUCUCUGUGUAGGAAUUCUAAUUCCUGUGUUUUUCCCAUCCAAAUACCACUGAAGAUUUUCUUUCACUAGCUUCUGUAGACAAAAUCAGGACUAGAACAGUUAUUCUCUUGAUCUAGCUAGAGUAAGCUCAUAUAUUGAAAGCUAUUAGGUUAGAUGGGCUGAUUAGAUUAUUUGGUGACACGAAUGAAUUUUUAUUCAUUAUUUUAAUUUUUAUUCAUUGUUUGUGAAGAUUUUUGGCUUUGGUGCUCUCCUUCUCUUUCAGUAAAAUCCUACCAGACAACCAGACAAGUGGGGAGAGCAGAACUUUUCUGAAGUUGCACCAGGGGAGAUUGAGGCUGGAUGUUAGGAAAUACUACUUCUCUGAAAGUGUUGUCAAGCACUGGAGUGGGCUGCCCAGGGAGGUGGUGGAGUCACUGACCCUGGAGGAGUGCAAGGAACAUUUAGACGUUGUGUUGAGGGACCUUGGUUAGUGAGAAUUAUUAGUGAUAGGCGGACUGUUGGACUGGAUGAUCUUAUAGGUCUUUACCAAACUUGGAGAUUCUAUGAUUCUAUGACUGCCAUAGAGAUAGGUGGAGUUUCCAUUAUACUGUUUUUGCAAGAGUGGUAGAGACAAAGUCAUGGGAAUUGCUUGCAUGAAAUUUAUGCUUUGUGGACUAACAUAAGCAGGAUGGUAGUUCUCUGGAAUUCAUGUGUUGUUUUGGGGUGACAUAACGUGCUCUCAUCAGUCAUGGUCUGUGAGUGACCACCAUUCAGAUGGCCUCUUCCAUCCACAGAGAUGGAGCCUGAGGUUUGCAAUUUAACAGACAUUGGUGAUCUUCUUUAGUCACCAGUCUGGAGCCGGCCAAUGCUAUACUAAUACCAUUGGUUACCCAGAAACUGACAUCCUAAAAACCAAAAAUUAAUGAAUUCCCUGGGCUGGCUUAUGAUCACUUAAUAAUAUGCCAUAGAGUUCUGCUUUCUAAAGCACCAUGUACUUUGCUAAUCUGUGAUCUACUUUCAUUUUUCUCCUGAUAAUUUCCCAAUUGUUUGACUGGUGCAUAAUUUUUUUUGCAAAGCUUUCUGGCAAAAACAGAGCUAAGAAAGAUAGAUAUCAGAUGUGUUUCAGAAAAAUAAAAUCUGGCUCAUCUUUAUUCUAAUGCCUUGUAAGUAAAUAUAUAAUAAAAUGAUAGAUAAGGAAAAAUGGCUACUUUCUUUUUGGUAACAGUAAAGAAUGCUUUUGAAUUAAUUAUUUUCAUUUGUAUAGCAGUCUUCCUGUGCCUUAAAAAAAUGUUUGAACUGGGUUACUUUAUGUAAACUAAAAGAUGUUUCUGAGUUGAAUUUGAUCAGUGCUUAGAAUUCCACCUUAAAUACUCCAAAGAUGGCACUUGUUUAGGUUUCUGAAGAUGGGAAUAUGAUCUGCUAAAAAUCAGACAAGUGAGCAGAAACAAACUAUGACUUCUGCCCCAAGGGUAAUGGAGAUGGAGAUGAAUCCUGACAAGCACACACAUGACAAGACCUAGGCAGAGCAAGAACGGGUGACUCACAAAUUGUAGUGGCACGUUCUCUCCAAGGGCCUCAGUGUGCAGUAAUGCCUGAAAGAUCUCAACCAGGAUCACAUGAUGCAUGCAGUGGUUGGCUGACUGUUGAGCCAUAUAAUAAAACCCCAACAAAUUAAGUAUAAAACAGCCUCUGGUGAGCUGUAGCCCUAAUUAGAAAGAAAAUUAACAGGUAUUAGAUUAGCAGAAACCCCGCCAGUAAAGGAUGUAGGGGAUAUCAUUAAAGAGACAGAUUUUUGUGUGUGUUUUAUGUUCCUCUGAAGUUGAUCCCCUUUUUAAUUACUUCUGCCAUUAUGAGAAAGCUAACUGGAUUCUUUCUCUGAUGAGACCAGGACAGAGCCACAGAGAGGUUCAUUAAUCAUCUUGGAUGACAAAGGGAGGAGGGGGAGUUCUCUACCAACUACUUGCUCUUCUCUUCCGCGUAUGUAUCCCCCCACCUCCCACUGCUCUGUACACAUCAUGCCAUCAUUGGCAGAGUUGUUGCCAGCAUUCUCUUUACACAUCAGCACACAGUGUUCCCUGAUGUUAGAAUUUUUCUGUGAAAUGAACUCACACCUCAGCCUCAGCCUCAAUGGAACUAGAUAUUUCUUUCUUUUCCCACACUGGCCAUUUCAGUUAUGAAACUCAUUCCAAUCCUUUACAUCUGUUUGGUGUGCAAACCCUUAAUAUAGGAUGGUUUGCAGGCUCCCAAACUGCUUUUGUCUGCCUUCCCUUUUUAGCUACCCAUUUGUCCACUCCACUCUUCUUUUCUUGGCCCAGUCUCUUUCUUCUUUUUCUUUCUGCUCUCAUUGCAUCUUUUGCCCCAACUUCUCUUGCAUCCUUUACAGGUUGUCUCAUUCAAGCCAUUCUGCCCAGAAUGCAAGCCUUCAUUGCUUCUUGCUUAUUUCAUCAAAGCAGAGCACUGUUCCUGUAACCCCAGACACAUAGAUAUUGAAUGCAAAUCUCUGUACAAGUUCAGAUUUGAAAAAUCCUCAGGGCAGAGCAAAUGACACUGACAAUGGGAAUUAUCAGAGUUCUUUCUAAGUUCGUCAGUGAUCUUUUGCUAGCCCAUCCUGAGAUCCUGAGUUCAUGAAAGAGACACAAGAACUGCAUUCCCUAGAGUGGAUUCUGCAGCAAUCACUCAUACUGCCUUCUCAACCCGCAAGCAGACUGAUUGUCUAUGUCCUUGCCUAUUCUGCUAGGUGAAAUAAAGGACAUCAAAUUUCAUUUCGAAAAGUAGGAAGGUUCUCCCAUAUGCCUACUGGAACUCAACUGUAUGGCACUAAACACCUGUCCCAUACGCAGAGAUGUGACUUCAGUUAUAGCAUAGAACUCCUUGUUUCUCAUGCAGCGGCCAUCUGAUUAUGAUUACAGUGAAAUUACAGUCACACUUCUGAAUUUCAAAUUCUGCACUUCUUGCCCAUCUCCCAGCCCAAAACAGCACAUUUUACGUCAAAGAUGGGCUAUAUUUAAGAUCUCAGAGGAGAGGCCUUCUCUAAGAGCAGUCGGAGUUGGAGGAACAAGCUAGACAGGCUUGUUCAGAAAAGAGGCAGUUUUCACAUUGUGUUUAUAAACAUCCUUUGAGAAAAUCAAUUAUGGAAUUCAGAUAAAUGUCUGAACUCCUAAAAGGAGUGCUUGGCUCCCAGGUUUUCCGGUAAGAACUUCUCACAGGAAGUGUUUUUAAAAGUGUUAUUUCAGGAUGUAGUGAUACAUCCUAGUCUGGAUAAUUAUAUUUUGACAGCACAAAGUGCUCCUAUUCAAGAUCUAUAACUGUUCUUUAUUUUCCCCAAGGUGUGCCUUGUGCUGAUGACCAUCGUGUAUUUCCUUCCUGUUACAUGUGACUACAUUUCAUGAGUGAUGGCAAAAAUUAUGUCUGAAAGAUGGAGAGAUAUUGGCAAAUCUGAUGUCCUUUUGAAGCCACUACCCUAUAAGGCACACAUGGUAUGAGUUGGCUGACAGUAUUCUGGCAGACUCUGUAGACAGCUAUUGAAGUCAACUUUUGGCAAGGAUUUAGAGAUUUGAGUUGUUACCACAUGUUUUUUAUAUAGGUACUGUGGUUUAUUUUGACAUGCAAGGGGUGACAUAACACUGAUUUUAAAAAAGCUUAGGUUGUUACCACUUUACUUUUAAGAGCAUAGACAUCAAAGGAUGGCAAAUAUGUUAUGCAGUUUAAUGAGUUACCAUUUGUCACUGCAAAUCAGCUGAGGAGUGUUAGCUCAUUGAGCCUGGAUAACCUGAUUUCUUCUAAUCUUUUGUGUGUGUGUGUGUGUGUGUUAAGCAUUAUUACAUUUACUAAGCAAAAUAUUACAAAAUUAUCUUGUUAUUGAUAACUGAACACACCUAGAGUGGAUCAGCCAUCCUGUGAUAUUAAGUGCAAGUAGCAUACCUGUAUUCUUCCCUAACCCAAGCUCAUUUUCUUUUUCAAAUUUGAGCAAUGAUGACUGUACUUUUGUAUUUGAUUCCCUAUUCAUUUACUGUAUCUCAGCAAAGAAAUGAAUUAGACAAUUCCUUGUUCAGCAUACAGUCCAUAAUAUGCCAAUGUGAGGGCUCCAAUAAAUACUUUUAACCAUAAGCUAUUUCUUGCAUUUGUAUUUCAUGGAACUGGGUCAUAAACAUGAAUUUGCUUUCAUCACAUAUGAUGAUGUUAAUCUCUUUGUUUCUUCUUCUCCAGGCUGCACAUACACACAUGUACAUACAUGCGCAUGUGUAUGUAUGCAUACACACACUGUUUGUCACAAAUCAGUACAGCUGGUAAUUUUCAGUUCACCAGAAGCUCAGAAUAGCAGAGAAAUCGUUCAGUCAGGCUUAAUGUGGAGAAC